UAACACUGUGCAACUAAGUCC
rnacentral:miRNA from 1 species